rnacentral:sRNA from 1 species
GAGAAUGUGGAUUAUAUGAUUCAGGAGCUCCGAAGACCCAAAUACACUAUAUAUUUCAUUUAUUUCAGUAAUGUGAUCAGCAAGAGUGACGUGAAGUCAUUGGCUGAAGCUGAUGAACAGGAAGUUGUGGCUGAGGUUCAGGUAAACAUAUUGGUCCUGUAACACAUCUCGUAUGUUGGCCCUUUUUAAAUAUUUGAGUCUAAAAAUAAAAAAUAAGGAAAGGUCUGUCUCAAAAGAAGUUUUAUUAUGAAUACUUGAAUAUGUUUAUCACAUAAAUGAGUAAUAUUGUUUUCAGAGGCAGCAAAUAAACUAGUUUUGAAUUUUUCAGAAGGAUGUGAUAGGUGAUAAAUGAAUAAAAAGAAUACCUGUUUUAAAUUAUAUUCUCUCUCAUGACAACACAUUGGACAGCAAAGUUCUUUUUUAUCUGAGUAGAACAUUGUAUCUCCUAUUAGCAGUAUUUUAUUUUUACUAAUUGAUAAGUAUGCAUAGAGGUCUCCAGAAAUAUAAUGUGUAUAACCUUACAACCUUUAUUUGUUAGAUUUAUUAUUAUUGCUACUCUUUUGUAAUUAUUUUAAUUCUCCCAUGUUGACUGUUGUUACCCAAUUAUUAAUUGAACAAUUUUGUAUCUCUUUACACCUGUAUUUCACAAAGUUUGGCUAUAUCAUAUUAUAUCACUUAUGAAAAUAUUACUGCUUGAUACAAUUGAAGUUUAUGGAAUGACUAUUCUUGGUGCUUUAUUUGCAGGAAUUUUAUGGUGAUUACAUUGCUGUGAACCCACAUUUGUUUUCCCUCAAUAUUUUGGGUUGCUGCCAGGUAUGGAAGGAAAGGUUUAAUUUAUCAGUCGAGGGUUAAUUCAGC